UUAAGCGACUAAGCGUACACGGUGGAUGCCCUGGCAGUCAGAGGCGAUGAAGGACGUGCUAAUCUGCGAUAAGCGCCGGUAAGGUGAUAUGAACCGUUAUAACCGGCGAUUUCCGAAUGGGGAAACCCAGUGUGAUUCGUCACACUAUCAUUAACUGAAUCCAUAGGUUAAUGAGGCGAACCGGGGGAACUGAAACAUCUAAGUACCCCGAGGAAAAGAAAUCAACCGAGAUUCCCCCAGUAGCGGCGAGCGAACGGGGAGGAGCCCAGAGCCUGAAUCAGCAUGUGUGUUAGUGGAAGCGUCUGGAAAGGUGCGCGAUACAGGGUGACAGCCCCGUACACAAAAGCGCAUGUGCUGUGAGCUCGAUGAGUAGGGCGGGACACGUGGUAUCCUGUCUGAAUAUGGGGGGACCAUCCUCCAAGGCUAAAUACUCCUGACUGACCGAUAGUGAACCAGUACCGUGAGGGAAAGGCGAAAAGAACCCCGGCGAGGGGAGUGAAAAAGAACCUGAAACCGUGUACGUACAAGCAGUGGGAGCACAGGUUUACCUGUGUGACUGCGUACCUUUUGUAUAAUGGGUCAGCGACUUAUAUUCUGUAGCAAGGUUAACCGAAUAGGGGAGCCGGAGGGAAACCGAGUCUUAAUUGGGCGUUAAGUUGCAGGGUAUAGACCCGAAACCCGGUGAUCUAGCCAUGGGCAGGUUGAAGGUUGGGUAACACUAACUGGAGGACCGAACCGACUAAUGUUGAAAAAUUAGCGGAUGACCUGUGGCUGGGGGUGAAAGGCCAAUCAAACCGGGAGAUAGCUGGUUCUCCCCGAAAGCUAUUUAGGUAGCGCCUCGUGAAUUCAUCUCCGGGGGUAGAGCACUGUUUCGGCUAGGGGGCCAUCCCGGCUUACCAACCCGAUGCAAACUGCGAAUACCGGAGAAUGUUAUCACGGGAGACACACGGCGGGUGCUAACGUCCGUCGUGAAGAGGGAAACAACCCAGACCGCCAGCUAAGGUCCCAAAGUCAUGGUUAAGUGGGAAACGAUGUGGGAAGGCCCAGACAGCCAGGAUGUUGGCUUAGAAGCAGCCAUCAUUUAAAGAAAGCGUAAUAGCUCACUGGUCGAGUCGGCCUGCGCGGAAGAUGUAACGGGGCUAAACCAUGCACCGAAGCUGCGGCAGCGACGCUGAUGCGUUGUUGGGUAGGGGAGCGUUCUGUAAGCCUGUGAAGGUGUGUCGUGAGGCAUGCUGGAGGUAUCAGAAGUGCGAAUGCUGACAUAAGUAACGAUAAAGCGGGUGAAAAGCCCGCUCGCCGGAAGACCAAGGGUUCCUGUCCAACGUUAAUCGGGGCAGGGUGAGUCGACCCCUAAGGCGAGGCCGAAAGGCGUAGUCGAUGGGAAACGGGUUAAUAUUCCCGUACUUGGUGUUACUGCGAAGGGGGGACGGAGAAGGCUAUGUUGGCCGGGCGACGGUUGUCCCGGUUUAAGCGUGUAGGUGUGUGUUCCAGGUAAAUCCGGUUCACUUUAACACUGAGGCGUGACGACGAGGCACUACGGUGCUGAAGCAACAAAUGCCCUGCUUCCAGGAAAAGCCUCUAAGCAUCAGGUAACACGAAAUCGUACCCCAAACCGACACAGGUGGUCAGGUAGAGAAUACCAAGGCGCUUGAGAGAACUCGGGUGAAGGAACUAGGCAAAAUGGUGCCGUAACUUCGGGAGAAGGCACGCUGACACGUAGGUGAAGUGAUUUACUCAUGGAGCUGAAGUCAGUCGAAGAUACCAGCUGGCUGCAACUGUUUAUUAAAAACACAGCACUGUGCAAACACGAAAGUGGACGUAUACGGUGUGACGCCUGCCCGGUGCCGGAAGGUUAAUUGAUGGGGUCAGCGCAAGCGAAGCUCCUGAUCGAAGCCCCGGUAAACGGCGGCCGUAACUAUAACGGUCCUAAGGUAGCGAAAUUCCUUGUCGGGUAAGUUCCGACCUGCACGAAUGGCGUAAUGAUGGCCAGGCUGUCUCCACCCGAGACUCAGUGAAAUUGAACUCGCUGUGAAGAUGCAGUGUACCCGCGGCAAGACGGAAAGACCCCGUGAACCUUUACUAUAGCUUGACACUGAACAUUGAGCCUUGAUGUGUAGGAUAGGUGGGAGGCUUUGAAGUGUGGACGCCAGUCUGCAUGGAGCCGACCUUGAAAUACCACCCUUUAAUGUUUGAUGUUCUAACGUGGACCCGUAAUCCGGGUUGCGGACAGUGUCUGGUGGGUAGUUUGACUGGGGCGGUCUCCUCCUAAAGAGUAACGGAGGAGCACGAAGGUUGGCUAAUCCUGGUCGGACAUCAGGAGGUUAGUGCAAUGGCAUAAGCCAGCUUGACUGCGAGCGUGACGGCGCGAGCAGGUGCGAAAGCAGGUCAUAGUGAUCCGGUGGUUCUGAAUGGAAGGGCCAUCGCUCAACGGAUAAAAGGUACUCCGGGGAUAACAGGCUGAUACCGCCCAAGAGUUCAUAUCGACGGCGGUGUUUGGCACCUCGAUGUCGGCUCAUCACAUCCUGGGGCUGAAGUAGGUCCCAAGGGUAUGGCUGUUCGCCAUUUAAAGUGGUACGCGAGCUGGGUUUAGAACGUCGUGAGACAGUUCGGUCCCUAUCUGCCGUGGGCGCUGGAGAACUGAGGGGGGCUGCUCCUAGUACGAGAGGACCGGAGUGGACGCAUCACUGGUGUUCGGGUUGUCAUGCCAAUGGCACUGCCCGGUAGCUAAAUGCGGAAGAGAUAAGUGCUGAAAGCAUCUAAGCACGAAACUUGCCCCGAGAUGAGUUCUCCCUGAGACUUAGAGUCUCCUGAAGGAACGUUGAAGACGACGACGUUGAUAGGCCGGGUGUGUAAGCGCAGCGAUGCGUUGAGCUAACCGGUACUAAUGAACCGUGAGGCUUAACCUU
rnacentral:rRNA from 1 species